AGAUACGUCGUCUGACCGUGUCUUGUAUCGAUUUCUGCGCGCGGCGAAUAUGCGAAUACCCAGGCAUGACGCGUGAUGACCGUCCGACAAAGUUGACCAGAGUGAGCGCGCGUGCCUCGUCGCCGGGCGUGUAUAACGUACGCGCGCUUUCGCGCAACGCCCGCCACCACUUUUCCCGACGACGAACGUUAAAUUAUUAACGGUUAAAUUAAUAAAAUAAAAAACGCAGCCUCUUUUCGACUAUUUGGCUUUUCACCAAUCGAGGAUCAACGACGAACGGGUCGCGACGUCCACGCGCGAGUUUUUUAACGCUCGCGCCGGCAGCAGUAAUUGCAAAUCGACGGCGACGCCUCGG
rnacentral:rRNA from 1 species